GAAAAGCAUAAUAGAGAAGCCGGUGAAAUGCCGGCACGGUCCCGCCACUGUAUGGUCGAGCGAGUCUAAAUUAAGUCACUGGGAAACUGGGAAGGCUAGAUGAGCGAUGACGCCGAGUCAGGAGAACUGCCUAUUCAA
rnacentral:ncRNA from 1 species